AUUGCAGUUGUUUGUGCAGCCAUAGAUGAAUCGAUCUUUGUUUCGAUAAAAUAAAGAAGGAAUUCUGAAGUAGAUUUGUUGUUAAUGUUUUUCGGUUACUUUAAACUUGUUUGCGUUUUAUGAUAUUAAAAAACUUUUAGGAAUAUAUCUGUAUGAAUAUUUUGGGUGCAAAUCAGUCAUAGAGUCAAUAUUUGUUCGUAGAGAAUUAUAUUUUUCUUUUUUUCUACAAUCAGACAUACUGUAUAUAUAAAACAAGCAAUAGAUAUUCGCGAAUUAAAUUUAUUGUUUGCCUCUUAAUUAUUAAAUAAUUAUUGCGCAUUUGAGUCAGUGCAUCAGGGAAGAUGAUCAAGGACCUAUUACACUUCUGUAGAUGAAUAUUGAUUUGCAAUGUCAUUAAGUCAAUGUAUUACAAAUUCAAUCUUAUUAAUUUUCCAUCUACGUCAAUUUAUUUCAUUUUGGACUUAUUAUGGGACAGUUUACAUAAAUUUCGAGCUACAACGGGGCAAGUAUUUUGGAGGUAUUGUGAAUCUUCAGCAAUUAUGAUUGCAGUUGUUUGUGCAGCCAUAGAUGAAUCGAUCUUUGUUUCGAUAAAAUAAAGAAGGAAUUCUGAAGUAGAUUUGUUAUUAAUGUUUUUCGGUUACUUUAAACUUGUUUGCGUUUUGUGAUGUUAAAAACCUUUUAGGAAUAUAUCUGUAUGAAUAUUUUGGGUGCAAAUCAGUCAUAGAGUCAAUAUUUGUUCGUAGAGAAUUAUAUUUUUCUUUUUUUCUACAAUCAGACAUACUGUAUAUAUAAAACAAGCAAUAGAUAUUCGCGAAUUAAAUUUAUUGUUUGCCUGUUAAUUAUUAAAUAAUUAUUGCGCAUUUUAGUCAGUGCAUCAGGGAAGAUGAUCAAGGACCUAUUACACUUCUGUAGAUGAAUAUUGAUUUGCAUUGUCAUUAAGUCAAUGUAUUACAAAUUCAAUCUAAUUAAUUUUCCAUCUACGUUGAUUUAUUCCAUUUUGGACUUAUUACGGAACAGUUUACAUAAAUUUCGAGCUACAACGGGGCAAGUGUUUCGGAGCUAUUGUGAAUCUUCAGCACAAGAGCAAUAUGAUCUGAUAAAUGAAAGAAGGACGAAGAACUGCAAUACUUUGUACAACAUGAUGCAACAAGAACAAUAUGUAAAAAUCAAUGAAGGAGGAAGAUUUACAAUACUUUUUGGAAUAUAAUGCAGAUGCAAAAAAUGAUGCACGUAGCCUUUAUCAAGGAUGAAAAGAGUCCGAACAUCCAUCUACAACGUCUAUUGCACGUUUUAAGUGAAUAAGAUAGAACAGUCUUAGAAUAAUCGUUAAAAAUAAAUUAUUUUUUAUUUCAGUAAUAACAGUAUUAAAUAACGGAAAUUAAAGAAAUUUAUUAUGAAUAUAAAAAGUGAAAACUGCAUUAAUUUAUUUAACACAUAAAUUUGAAAACAUUCAAAAAGUGGAGUUAAUCGAAUUGACUCGUAUAUAUAUUAUAUAGAUUAAGUUUAUUUUGUAUCAAUGUAUUAUAAUAAGAUUUUUUCAAUUUGAUCCUACACUUUCAUCAAACAUUUUGUUCAUCCGCCUUUUUUUUAAUAAUAUUACCUCUUAACUUGUCAAUCGUUUGCAAUUUUUUGGCAUAGAUUUAAUGUAGCUUCAUAAAAAAUUGCCGAAUUACAUGAUCUUGGUUACCAAAUAAUGUGAUCAAUUCGCAAAAUAAGGAAUUCUUUGAAUUUUUCAGCCAGUAAGUCACUUAACGAUUGAUGAGAGGCCAAUAUCACUCAUGUCAUUGAUGAAAUUGAAUCCUAUUUGUACGAGAAUGUUCGUACAAAUAAUCGAAAAUUAGAUCAAGAGAAAACACAUAAUCAUACAGAGCCAAGGUGGUCACUUGACCGUUAUUAUUUUUCAUACAUAAUGAUAUCACCUGAAUAUAUUUUAAAAUGAAGUAAAAAAUAUUACAAUAUCACAAAUACAAUUUGCUUUAUUAUAAUUUAACCCUCAUCACUCCAAGUCUGUUUAUCAGGCAUUACACUGACUAUUUUAUUCCUUAUUAACUUUACUUUUCGACCACUCAAAUGUGUCUCUAAAUUCCGUAUACUCUUUAUUCGCAUCUUAGUUAAUCUUUUUUUUUAUUUUAUUCUAAACGCA